CCUGAUAGCUCAGUUGAUAGAGAAUCUGCCUGCAAUGCAGAAGAUCCCAGUUCAAUUCUUGGGUCAGGA
rnacentral:tRNA from 1 species